rnacentral:rRNA from 1 species
CCUACGGGUGGCAGCAGUGGGGAAUAUUGCACAAUGGGGGAAACCCUGAUGCAGCGACGCCGCGUGAGCGAAGAAGUAUUUCGGUAUGUAAAGCCCUAUCAGCAGGGAAGAAAAUGACGGUACCUGAGUAAGAAGCUCCGGCUAAAUACGUGCCAGCAGCCGUGGUAAUACGUAUGGAGCAAGCGUUAUCCGGAUUUACUGGGCGUAAAGGGAGCGUAGGCGGCUUGCCGAGUCUGAUGUGAAAUAGCGGGGCUCAACCCCGGGACUGCAUUGAAAACUGGCAGGCUGGAGUGCCGGAGAGGCAGGCGGAAUACGUAGUGUAGCGGUGAAAUGCGUAGAUAUUAGGUAGAACACCAAUAGCGAAGGCAGCCUGCUGGACGGUGACUGACGCUGAGGCUCGAAAGCGUGGGGAGCAAACAGGAUUAGAUACCCCUGUAGUC